rnacentral:rRNA from 1 species
CCUACGGGAGGCUGCAGUGGGGAAUAUUGCGCAAUGGGCGCAAGCCUGAUGCAGCCAUGCCGCGUGUGUGAAGAAGGCCUUCGGGUUGUAAAGCACUUUCAGCGGGGAGGAAGGCGUUAAGGUUAAUAACCUUGGCGAUUGACGUUACCCGCAGAAGAAGCACCGGCUAACUCCGUGCCAGCAGCCGCGGUAGUACGGAGGGUGCACGCGUUAAUCGGAAUUACUGGGCGUAAAGCGCACGCAGGCGGUCUGUCAAGUCGGAUGUGAAAUCCCCGGGCUCAACCUGGGAACUGCAUUCGAAACUGGCAGGCUAGAGUCUUGUAGAGGGGGGUAGAAUUCCAGGUGUAGCGGUGAAAUGCGUAGAGAUCUGGAGGAAUACCGGUGGCGAAGGCGGCCCCCUGGACAAAGACUGACGCUCAGGUGCGAAAGCGUGGGGAGCAAACAGGAUUAGAUACCCUAGUAGUC